CCUACGGGAGGCAGCAGUGAGGAAUAUUGGUCAAUGGUCGCGAGCCUGAACCAGCCAAGUAGCGUGAAGGAUGACUGCCCUACGGGUUGUACACUUCUUUUAUAAAGGAAUAAAAUGAGGCACGUGUGCCUUUUUGUAUGUAUUUUAUGAAUAAGGAUCGGCUAACUCCGUGCCAGCAGCCGCGGUACUACGGAGGGUCCGGUCGUUAUCCGGAUUUAUUGGGUUUAAAGGGAGAGUAGGUGGGUUGUUAAGUCAGUUGUGAAAGGUUGCGGCUCAACCGUAAAUUGCAAUUGAUACUGGCAGCCUUGAGUACAGUGGAGGUAUGCGGAAUUCGUGGUGUAGCGGUGAAAUGCUUAGAUAUCACGAAGAACUCCGAUUGCGAAGGCAGCCUACUAAACUGCCACUGACAUUGAUGCUCGAAAGUGUGGGUAUCAAACAGGAUUAGAUACCCCAGUAGUC
rnacentral:rRNA from 1 species